rnacentral:rRNA from 1 species
AAGGUUUACUGCCGGAAGAUCGGCCCGCGUCUGAUUAGCUAGUUGGUGGGGUAACGGCCUACCAAGGCGACGAUCAGUAGCUGGUCUGAGAGGAUGAUCAGCCACACUGGGACUGAGACACGGCCCAGACUCCUACGGGAGGCAGCAGUGGGGAAUAUUGGACAAUGGGCGCAAGCCUGAUCCAGCCAUGCCGCGUGAGUGAUGAAGGCCUUAGGGUUGUAAAGCUCUUUUAUCCGGGACGAUAAUGACGGUACCGGAGGAAUAAGCCCCGGCUAACUUCGUGCCAGCAGCCGCGGUAAUACGAAGGGGGCUAGCGUUGCUCGGAAUCACUGGGCGUAAAGGGCGCGUAGGCGGCGUUNNNNNNNNGGGGUGAAAGCCUGUGGCUCAACCACAGAAUGGCCUUCGAUACUGGGACGCUUGAGUAUGGUAGAGGUUGGUGGAACUGCGAGUGUAGAGGUGAAAUUCGUAGAUAUUCGCAAGAACACCGGUGGCGAAGGCGGCCAACUGGA